UUGGAAAUUAAGGCUUCGAUUCUAAUCUAACCUUCAAUAUGUAUCUUGGUAUGUGAGAAGAGACCAAACUUGUGCUUGGCUCCAUGGAUUGUUUGAAGGUAACCAGUGGGGAUUGAUUGACAUUACCACUAGUUUGACCUCUAAAGGAUGUGCAGAUUGAACCCCCAUCUCCAUGAACAAGUUGUGGCACUUUUUUUUUUUGGGAAAAAAGAAGCUCAUGCCCAUUUUGAUAUGUUAUCUUCCUCCUUGAGCCAACCAAACAUUCAUCCACAAAAAACGGAAGAUUUAAUGGAACAACAAUAAUACUUCAAAAAAAAGGCAGUAAUUAGAACAAGAAAGAAUUC
rnacentral:lncRNA from 1 species